rnacentral:rRNA from 1 species
GCGGAGGAAAAGAAACCAACAGGGAUUGCCUCAGUAGCGGCGAGUGAAGCGGCAAAAGCUCAAAUUUGAAAUCUGGCGUCUUUGGCGUCCGAGUUGUAAUUUGAAGAAGGUAUCUUUGGGCCCGGCUCUUGUCUAUGUUCCUUGGAACAGGACGUCACAGAGGGUGAGAAUCCCGUGCGAUGAGAUGACCCGGGUCUGUGUAAAGUUCCUUCGACGAGUCGAGUUGUUUGGGAAUGCAGCUCUAAGUGGGUGGUAAAUUCCAUCUAAAGCUAAAUAUUGGCGAGAGACCGAUAGCGAACAAGUACAGUGAUGGAAAGAUGAAAAGAACUUUGAAAAGAGAGUGAAAAAGUACGUGAAAUUGUUGAAAGGGAAGGGCUUGAGAUCAGACUUGGUAUUUUGCAUGCUGCUCUCUCGGGGGCGGCCGCUGCGGUUUACCGGGCCAGCAUCGGUUUGGAGCGGCAGGAUAAUGGCGGAGGAAUGUGGCACGGCUUCUGCUGUGUGUUAUAGCCUCUGACGAUACUGCCAGCCUAGACCGAGGACUGCGGUUUUUACCUAGGAUGUUGGCAUAAUGAUCUUAAGUCGCCCGUCUU